rnacentral:misc_RNA from 1 species
CCAAUUUAUAUGUUAGUUUGCCUGUGGCUUCGGUCACUGGUAUUAACUACUAUGUAAACGUUGAACUAGAUCAAUUGGUGUGGAUUGCUUGGGAAUGGACGAAGCGAUGAGCCUCUUCCGGACAGGCAAGCCCCACACUGAUAACCUUUUUCAUAUCAUUUACUCGUAUAUACUACCACAACAACAAAAAACAAAAGCUAUAAUAGGACUUAUUAACGGCUGAGCGGGGUAACAUCCUCGGCUUAAACAUAUAACUAUUA